rnacentral:rRNA from 1 species
GAUGAACGCUGGCGGCGUGCCUAAUACAUGCAAGUCGAGCGAACAGACGAGGAGCUUGCUCCUCUGACGUUAGCGGCGGACGGGUGAGUAACACGUGGAUAACCUACCUAUAAGACUGGGAUAACUUCGGGAAACCGGAGCUAAUACCGGAUAAUAUAUUGAACCGCAUGGUUCAAUAGUGAAAGACGGUUUUGCUGUCACUUAUAGAUGGAUCCGCGCCGCAUUAGCUAGUUGGUAAGGUAACGGCUUACCAAGGCAACGAUGCGUAGCCGACCUGAGAGCGUGAACGGCCACACUGGAACUGAGACACGGUCCAGACUCCUACGGGAGGCAGCAGUAGGGAAUCUUCCGGAAUGGGCGAAAGCCUGACGGAGCAACGCCGCGUGAGUGAUGAAGGUCUUCGGAUCGUAAAACUCUGUUAUUAGGGAAGAACAAAUGUGUAAGUAACUAUGCACGUCUUGACGGUACCUAAUCAGAAAACCACGGCUAACUACGUG